rnacentral:rRNA from 1 species
CAGCCGCCGCGGUAAUACGAGGGGGGCAAGCGUUGUUCGGAAUUAUUGGGCGUAAAGGGUGCGUAGGCGGUUUGACAAGUCAUCUGUGAAAUCUAUGGGCUCAACCCAUAGUCUGCAGGCGAAACUGUCGGGCUUGAGUAUGGGAGAGGUGAGUGGAAUUUCCGGUGUAGCGGUGAAAUGCGUAGAUAUCGGAAGGAACACCUGUGGCGAAAGCGGCUCACUGGACCAUAACUGACGCUGAGGCACGAAAGCUAGGGGAGCAAACAGGAUUAGAUACCCGCGUAGUCCCUGUCUCUUAUAU